GGGCCGGUAGCUUAAUGGUAAAGCGCUCGCUUGGCGUGCGAGAGACUAGGGGUUCAAUUCCCCUCCGGUCCA
rnacentral:tRNA from 1 species